AACAAAACAAAACAAAAAAAACUUUUAAGUAAUUUUUUCCCUCUGCAAUUGGUAUGCAAUCUUAACAUUAAGAUUAGAAAUGCUCAUUAUAAUUUUUAAACGCUUUGGUAGUUUAAAUUUUAUAUUCUAUGUGAAGUAUAUUUAUUAUGUGAGGUAAACAUUUACACAUACCAUGUGAUCUACAGAGAGAACCACUUACCCCAACGCCAUUUAUUAAAUAGGCCUAUUUCUCUCUACUUUGAAAUGUCAUUGUGAUGGUUAAUUUUAUAUGUCAACUUGACUGGGUUGUGGAGUGCCCAGAUGCUUGGUCUGACAUUCUUCUGGGUAUAUCUGUGAGGGGGUAUUGGAUGACAUUAACAUUUAAAUCAGUAGACUAAGUAAAGCAGAUGAACGUGGGUGGGACUCAUCCAAUUGAUUGAAGGCCUGAAUAGAACAAAAGUGCCAACACCCCUGAGUAAGAAUUCCUACCAGUGACCUUCAAACUGGACAUCAGCUUUUUCCUGCCUUUAGACUCAAUUGAAACAUUAGCUUUUCCUAGGUCUUGAGCCUUCAGAUUGGAACAAUACUCUCAGUCCUCCUGGGCCUCGAGUUUGCUAACUCAACCUGCAGAUCUUGGGACUUGCUAGCCUCCAUAAUCAGAGAGCCUAUGAAUGGACGUGCAGUCAGGGAGGUUUCACAUCACCAAGAUUCCUAUCCCGGAAAAGCAGAUGUUUAUAGCUGUGGGAAUGGAAUGCGACCCUCGUGGAAAACCUAUAAACAGGCGCAUGGGGGCCAUCUGUCCAUAUGGAUAAGAUAGGGCUAUAAAUGCCCUUAUCUUGCCGUGGCUCUUCUAGGCCUCUUUAGGGUUCAUACUCCCUUCUGAGAAUUUCUGGUCUAACUGAUUGUCUAACUUCACGUCCUGUUUCUAUGAAUUGUUUGUAACCAGCUUUUGCUGCAACUGUUACUGUUGAUUAAUAUCUUGCUAAUCAUAGGUUAUGGAAAGACCGUGUUCCUGUUUUAAGGCUCUGUUAGAAAUUAAACUUCACCUCCUGUUUCUAUGAACUGUUUGUAAUGAGCUUUUGCUGUAACUGUUACUGCUGUUCCUGUUUUAAGGCUCUGUUGGAAAUUACUGAUGCACACACUAUGUUGUAAAUUCUUAUCUCUGUAUACUGUACUUCUCUGUACAGAUGUUAUGUUAAAGAAUUACUUCAUCCCCAUGUGACCAUCUCACCACAUAAUCAAAUAACCCUAAAUUCGUCACUAACGUACCCCCGCCCUCACUAAACUCAAUAAUAAAUGCUGGCAUAUCCAGGGCAUUGUUGGCACCACGGGACCAGAAGGCUGUGACCCCCCUGGACCCAGCUUUCACUA